AGCAGCCGCGGUAACUCCAGCUCCAAUAGCGUAUAUUAAAGUUGUUGCAGUUAAAAAGCUCGUAGUUGAAUUUCGGGGUCAGUAAGUUGGUCGUGCCACCGGUAUGUACUGGCUUUGCUGAUUCCUCCUUCUUGUAGAACCGUAAUGCCAUUCAGUUGGUGUUGCGGGGAAACAGGACUGUUACUUUGAAAAAAUUAGAGUGUUUAAAGCAGGCUAACGCCUGAAUACACUAGCAUGGAAUAAUGAAAUAGGACGAGCGAUCUUAUUUUGUUGGUUUCUAGGAUUGACGUAAUGAUUAAUAGGGAUAGUUGGGGGCAUUAGUAUUCAAUUGUCAGAGGUGAAAUUCUUGGAUUUAUUGAAGACUAACUUCUGCGAAAGCAUUUGCCAAGGAUGUUUUCAUUAAUCAAGAACGAAAGUUAGGGGAUCGAGGACGAUCAGUUACCGUCGUAGUCUUAACCACAAACUAUGCCGACUAGGGAUCGGACGAUGUUAAUUUUUUAAUGACUCGUUCGGCGCCUUACGG
rnacentral:rRNA from 1 species